rnacentral:rRNA from 1 species
CGUGCCUAACACAUGCAAGUCGAACGGAGCUGCUUUGAUGAGAUCUUCGGAUGGAUUUAAAACAGCUUAGUGGCGGACGGGUGAGUAACGCGUGGGUAACCUGCCUCACACUGGGGGAUAACAGUUAAAAAUAGCUGCUAAUACCGCAUAAGCGCACAGUUCCGCAUGGAACAGUGUGAAAAACUCCGGUGGUGUGAGAUGGACCCGCGUCUGAUUAUCCAGUUGGCGGGGUAACGGCCCACCAAAGCGACGAUCAGUAACCGGCCUGAGAGGGUGAACGGCCACAUUGGGACUGACACACGGCCCAAACUCCUACGGGAGGCAGCACUGAGGAAUAUUGCACAAUGGGGGAAACCCUGAUGCAGCGACGCCGCGUGAGUGAAAAAUUAUUUCGGUAUGUAAAGCUCUAUCAGAAGGGAACAAAGUGACGGUACCUGAAUAAAAAGCCCCGGCUAACUACGUGCCACCAUCCGCGGUAAUACGUAAGGGGCAAGCGUUAUCCGGAUUUACUGGGUGUAAAGGGAGCGUACACGGCAAUGCAAGUCUGAACUGAAAGCCCGGUGCUUAACGCCCGGACUGCUUUGCAAACUGUUUGGAUGGAGUGUCGGAGAGGUAAGCGGAAUUCCUAGUGUAGCGGUGAAAUGCGUAGAUAUUAGGAAGAACACCAGUGGCGAAGGCGGCUUACUGGACGGUAACUGACGUUGAGGCUCGAAAGCGUGGGGAGCAAACAGGAUUAGAUACUCUGGUAGUCCACGCUGUAAACGAUGAUUGAUAGGUGUAGGUGGGUAUGGACCCAUCGGUGCCGCAGCUAACGCAAUAAGCAAUCCACCUGGGGAGUACGUUCGCAAGAAUGAAACUCAAAGGAAUUGACGGGGACCCGCACAAGCGGUGGAGCAUGUGGUUUAAUUCGAAGCAACGCGAAGAACCUUACCAGGUCUUGACAUCCCGAUGAAAAACCCGUAACGGGGUUCCCUCUUCGGAGCAUCGGAGACAGGUGGUGCAUGGUUGUCGUCAGCUUGUGUCGUGAGAUGUUGGGUUAAGUCCCGCAACGAGCGCAACCCUUAUUCUUAGUAGCCAGCAGGUAAGGCUGGGCACUCUAAGGAGACUGCCGGGGAUAACCCGGAGGAAGGUGGGGAUGUACGUCAAAUCAUCAUGCCCCUUAUGAUCUGGGCUACACACGUGCUACAAUGGCGUAACAAAGGGAAGCGAGCCUGCGAGGGUGAGCAAAUCCCAAAAAUAACGUCCCAGUUCGGACUGUAGUCUGCAACCCGACUACACGAAGCUGGAAUCGCUAGUAAUCGCGAAUCAGAAUGUCGCGGUGAAUACGUUCCCGGGUCUUGUACACACCGCCCGUCACACCAUGGGAGUCGGAAAUGCCCGAAGUCUGUGACUCAACCGCAAGGAGAGAGCAGCCGAAGGCAGGUCU